GUUCCAGGGGGUUCCUUUGAAAACUUCCUGCGGUGUCCAGGAGCGAGCAGCCUGCUGCACACAGGACGCAAUGCCUGCUGAAAUCCCAGAUGAAAAUUCAUAAUCCACUUAGGAAAAAGGAGGGGGGAUGCACGGAGUUAGCACAUAUUAAGUGCCUGCUGUAGUCAAGCCCUGUUGGACACCAGGGACAUCUGGACCUUGACAACGGAGCGAAGGGGUGGUCCUGCCUGCACCAGGUUUCAGUGGCUUCUCAGGCUUCUCUGCAGCAUGGGUGUUCCUGCCUUGGCCAGAGCCGAAAUCCCAGAGCAGUGAAAGAGGAGCCAGUGUCAUGGGGCUUCUGGUUUCAGGACACACUGGAAAG
rnacentral:lncRNA from 1 species